rnacentral:tRNA from 1 species
GCCGGGGUGCCGGAAUUGGAAGACGGGGUGGACUCAAAAUCCACUGAGGCUAAAACCUCGUGAGGGUUCAAGUCCCUCCCCCGGCA